rnacentral:rRNA from 1 species
GGUGAAACCGCGAAAGGCUCAUUAAAUCAGUUAUGGUUCCUUAGAUCGUACCCACACUUACUUGGAUAACUGUGGUAAUUCUAGAGCUAAUACAUGCAAACAGAGCUCCGACCGGAGACGGGAGGGGUGCUUUUAUUAGAUCAAAACCAAUCGGCGGCGGGCGCGCUCGCGCGUCCGUUCGCCGCUCAACCUGGUGACU